GAGUUUGAUCGUGGCUCAGAACGAACGCUGGCGGCGUGGAUAAGACAUGCAAGUCGAGCGCUGAUUUGAGGGUAGCAAUAUUCUUAAGUCGGAGCGGCGCAAGGGUGCGUAACACGUGGGUAAUCUGCCGUGAAGUCUGGAAUAACUUGCUGAAAGGCGAGCUAAUGCCAGAUGUGAAAUUUGGAAGGCAUCUUUCGUAUUUUUAAAGUUGGGGACCGCAAGGCCUGACGCUUCACGAUGAACCCGCGUCCCAUCAGCUAGUUGGUAGGGUAAUGGCCUACCAAGGCUUAGACGGGUAGGGGACCUGAGAGGGUGACCCCCCACACUGGAACUGAAAACGGUCCAGACACCUACGGGUGGCAGCAGUAGGGAAUAUUGCACAAUGGACGAAAGUCUGAUGCAGCAACGCCGCGUGUGCGAU
rnacentral:rRNA from 1 species